rnacentral:rRNA from 1 species
GACGAACGCUGGCGGCGUGCUUAACACAUGCAAGUCGAACGGAAAGGCCCUCUUUUGGUGUACUCGAGUGGCGAACGGGUGGGUAACACGUGAGUAACCUACCCUUCACUUUUUUAUAACUUCAUGAAACAGGGGCUAAUACCGCAUAGGAGCUCCUGCUGCAUGGUGGGGGUUGGAAAGUUUCGGCGGUUGGGGGGGGUCUCGCGGCUUAUCAUCUUGUUGGUGGGGUGGUGGCUCACAACGGCGUUGACGGGUGGCCGGCGUGAGGGGGGGACCGGCCACAUGGGGACUGAGAUGCGGCAGAGACUCAUACGGGAGGCAGGAGUGGAGAAUAUUGCACAAUGGGCGGAAGCGUGAUGCAGCAACGCCGCGUGGGAGAUGAGGGUCUUGGGGUUGUAAAGCGCUUUCGCCUGAGACGAAGCGUGAGUCAGGGUAAUGGGUAAAGGAGCAGCCGAUAACUGUG